UAGAACCUUCUGCCCACGACAUUGACC
rnacentral:piRNA from 1 species